AUUGAACGCUGGCGGCAGGCCUAACACAUGCAAGUCGAACGAGUGGCGGACGGGUGAGUAAUGUCUGGGAAACUGCCCGAUGGAGGGGGAUAACUACUGGAAACGGUAGCUAAUACCGCAUACCACUGGAAGUGCUCAGAUGGGAUUAGCUUGUAGGUGGGGUAACGGCUCACCUAGGCGACGAUCCCUAGCUGGUCUGAGAGGAUUAACAGCCACACUGGAACUGAGACAGGGUCCAGACUCCUACGGGAGGCAGCAGUGGGGAAUAUUGCACAAUGGGCGAAAGCCGUAUGCAGCCAUGCCGCGUGUAUGAAGAAGGCCUUUGGGUUGUAAAGUACUUUCAGCGAGGAGGCGUUACCCGCAGAAGAAGCAACGGCUAACUCCGUGCCAGCAGCCGCGGUAAUUC
rnacentral:rRNA from 1 species